rnacentral:rRNA from 1 species
AUAUUGCACAAUGGGGGAAACCCUGAUGCAGCGACGCCGCGUGAAGGAAGAAGUAUCUCGGUNUGUAAACUUCUAUCAGCAGGGANNCANNNGNCGGUACCUGACUAAGAAGCCCCGGCUAACUACGUGCNNNCAGCCGCGGUAAUACGUAGGGGGCAAGCGUUAUCCGGAUUUACUGGGUGUAAAGGGAGCGUAGACGGAAGAGCAAGUCUGAUGUGAAAGGCUGGGGCUUAACCCCAGGACUGCAUUGGAAACUGUUGUUCUAGAGUGCCGGAGAGGUAAGCGGAAUUCCUAGUGUAGCGGUGAAAUGCGUAGAUAUUAGGAGGAACACCAGUGGCGAAGGCGGCUUACUGGACGGUAACUGACGUUGAGGCUCGAAAGCGUGGGGAGCAAACA